GAGAACUGCUGGCGUCAGCCCCGUGCAGCCGUCCUGCUCCCGCGAUGGCCAGGUGGGGCCCCUCCCCUCGCGCCCUGGGAUUCUGGGGCGUGGAGCGGGCCACGUGUGUUGGUAGUAGCGGUCGGCAGCUGAAGGGUUCGUUCCUUUUGGCUGAAAAGCCCCGCGUAGGUCGGGCUCGGGAGAUGUGAGUGGGGGGCUCGAGAAGGGCGAGCUUGGGCUGGUCGCCUAUUCAAAGUGCUUGGGGGAUUGGCAUUUCCUCGGGGCUUGCUCGGUGGCAGCAGUGGCAGCGGGAGGGUUGACUCCAGGUCAGCGCUCUCCCAAAGGGCGGGACUCAGCGAGCCGGUAGUUGGUCCCUUGAACCAGCAGGACUUGUUCCCGGACACUGAGGUCGGGUUCCUUGGUGGCUGCUGCUGCGCUGACCUUUGGGCGCCGGGAACAGAAUCCCAGCCCAGCUGCAGCUGCCCCCCCCAACCCCCUUUUAUUAAGUGGGGGUCUCUGCUUUUCCAGGUCUCAAGAGGGGGCGGUGAGGGACAAGAGGAUCUGUAGUCCGCAGAGAAUUAACCGCCUUGACAAACGGGAAUUCUGAUUCGCGGCCUUGGAACCAGCUGAAGAAUAGACCUGAAUCUGCAGAGCAGAGUGGGGGUGAAUGGUGUGAAAUUCUGCUGAAUUCACAGCUCGAGAUUCUCCCUCCGAACUUCGGAUGAAGCUGCCUAUGGAUGUGUUGCCCUUUCUCCUUUCCAAACGGGGUUGUGUAGUCUGUCUCCUCACCACUACACAGCAGAGGGUGACACCACCUAUUAAGUCUGUGAGUCCUGUCUCAGUGUCUGCAGGGCUGACCUUAGCACCAGCGUGGCGCAGAGCCCGAGGUGGCCUCCAGGGUGCGCUCUCAUAGCCCCAGCUCACCAUCAGCACAUCUUGUCCUGGAUUCUGCCACCUUCCCUGUCCUUUAGUGGGAAGCUCUGGUUUCUCUCAGAAGCUCUUCAUGCACUGCGUGGACCCUUCACAGAACUGGGUGGUUUUCAGGGCUAACUGGCAAGAGGAAAAAGAGAGAGAAAAUAAGCGGGAUUCCCCAAAUUGUGUAGCACAAAGCCCAUUUUCUGAGGUCCUCGCCAGAGACAGGGUUUUUCCUUUGCAUUUCAGGAGCUUCUUCCCUGGCCAUGGCUGCACCUUCAGGGCAGCAGCAGGGCCAGGAGAGGAGGAGGGGGAAGGGUGCCCAGCAGCCCCCACUGUGGCUCUGACAGGCUCCUGUCCAGUCCUUUCUGCGUCCUUCCCACCCUGCUCAUGGAGCAGUGCUGACACUCACCUCCUUCAGGACAGAGCUUAGAUGCAGGCGGGGACCCACCAGGUCACUGCCAUGCUGGUCACUCGUCCAGUCCUGACUUCCAUCCCCAGUCUGCACACUGCUGCUUCGCUCCAGAAUCCAUGGACACCGGCUUCUCUGUUCUGUCCCUAGCUCUUGGUUGUCAUCAGUGAGGGGGCGGCUGGCUGUGGACCUGCUCCACACUGGUGGCUGCAGAACGCUGUGGUCUCUUUAAAGGAACACAGGGGAGGAAGAGAGUGAGUGGACAGCAGGUGGACUUUCUGCUGUGCAGAAAUCAGUGCCCGGUGUUGUCUUUACUCACAGUCCUCUGAAGUGCUGUGUUGAUUGGCAGGACGCACUUUUAUUUUCUUCUCCUCUGGUUGCUCUUCCUGAAGAGGGUGCACGGAGUUGGCUGCACACGCACCGGGACCGGAAGGUGGGCGCGCCUUCCCGGUGCCCAGAAGCACCCUGUUCGUGCUGCUCCGUGUCUGAGCCCCUCUCACCAGGCAGUUCAGGUCUGGACAGAGGCGGGACCAGCCGUCGUGGCUCCUCCCAGGCCUUCCCGACACCACCUGUCUGUCUGUCCUGCACACCACUGGUCUGUGCUCCUUGCCAGCUGAAUUCGGAGGGACAGCAAGCCUCCGGGGCACUUGGAGGAACCACAGAGCAGAGAAGCCCUGGGUCCCUGAGUCCCUGUGUGGAGAGGAUGAGCCAUGGUGGCUCCCUGGCCCACAUCGUGGGACACAAGGACCAAGUAGAUUUCACUGAGUUCAAAUGCUGAAAAGUUCGUUAGGACAACUUACCGUUAUGACUUUCAUGGGCAGAGUCUCUGAUGGGCAAUUCGACUCUCCCUGGCUUGACUGCUGAGUAAGUGUCAGACUUUUGAUGAGUCACUUUGUGUCCCUCAUCUUCGUUUAGCCCCCAGCUGAAUGGGGUGUGUCGAUUCCACCCACCAGCAUUGCUUGUCCCUCUUCUCUGCCACGUUGGAAGAUAAAUCAAAGCCACCUGUGGAAGGAGAGCGCCUAUGAAGAUGAGGUAUCAUCAUUACCUCAUUCUGAGCACCCUUCUGCCAAGUACAUAGAGGAAAAUUAUUAAUCACCCCUUACCUGGACAGUAACGAAGCAGCCGAGUGAACGCUUAGCCCCCUCUCAGGGCAGCCCAGCUCUGCCUGCACCAGCACGAGAGGCCACCUGGACAGGACAGAAGUCCCACGGGGAAGGAGAUGGGCCACUUCUCUCCCAGCUGUGUGAGUCUGUCCCAGCAGUGGGUCCAUCUGCACUGCUGACGGCUGCUGGAGCCAGCAAGGCCUUUAGACACGACACUGACAUGAUCUGAUUUAUACUUUUUAAAGGUCACUCUGCAUUAUAUGUCUAUGUAUUUUUAAUAAUCUAAGUUUUUUCAAUUAGAGUUGACAUCUAGUUUUAGAUUCAGGUGCACCAUGUAGUGGUUAGACAUUUUAAGGUUACAGAGUGAUUUCCCCAGUAAGUCUAGUAGGGGUGUCUUUCAACUGGGUGUUCAUCCUAUUCACAAGGGCUCUCCCCUCAAAGGCCCCACCCUUUAUUUAUUAGUGAUUUAUCUCACUGGGGUGCCCCUGGUUCACACAAGGAUUUGGUUUUCAGCAGCACAGUUGCAUAGAACCUCAUGUGUAUAUUGUACUGUCUGUUCACCCCCAAGUCAAGUCUCCUUCCAUCACCAUUGCCUCCCCCUGGACCCCCUUCUCCCCUCCCCCCACCCCCUGGAGGUCACCCGGUGAUUUGACAUUUAAAAUGAUGUUUGAGAUGCGUGUCGAGGGCACAGGCCAUGGAGCUGCGAUUUCCAACACAUGUGCCGCGGCCCACUCGUGUGGCGCAGCAGUUUUUAAAACACCCCACACCUGACUGUUGAUUCAGGGCACUGCCUUCUUUCCAAGGCUAUUGCCAUGUUUUCCUCUUUCUGUCUUUCUUUUUUCUCAUUUUCCUUUUUUCUCAGGUGCUUCUUUCUAAGGAAUUGUGCUUUACGUUUUCUAGGAUCUGAAACGGCCAAGCAGCAUUUCUUUAGGCCCCAACUUGAAGCCAGGGUGUCAUACUUAUCGGGCACUGUAAGGGGACAGGCCUGUGCCCAGCCUGCACAGUUCGGUGCCGCGCCCCCUGGGGACCGGGCACACCCGUGGAAAAUCGCUCGUGUAGACAGAUGCACAGGGUGAGGUGUGGUUCAGGCACAGAGGGCGGGCACGUGGCCGGGAGGCAGGAGAGGUGGAGACUGGAGGCCCAGCACAGGCCCCGCAGAGGCCCAUGAGCGAGGGGAGGGGACAGGAAAACAGAAGGCCCAGCAGGAGGGAAUGGGAGGGGACAGGGGACAGAGAAAGGGACAGGACAGGGACCUUAGGAGGGACAAGGAAGGGGGACAUGAGAGGCCAGGAAGGACAGGGUGGGGGGACAGGGGAGCAGAGACAGGGGUAAAGAAGGGGGGAUAGGGGACUCUCCAUAAAAGGGGGCUGGUUUCCCUGUCACCUGUCCCUCCUCCCCUUUCUCUCCAGCUCUCACCCUUUCAUGGAGGGUCCCCUGUCCCCUGCCUUCCCCCUCCAUGGAGGGUCCCCUGUGCCCUACCUCCAUGGAGGGUCCCCUGUCCCCUGCCCUCCCCACCUCCAUGGAGGGUCCCCUGUCCCCUGCCCUCCCCACCUCCAUGGAGGGUCCCCUGUCCCCUGCCCUCCCCACCUCCAUGGAGGGUCCCCUGUCCCCUGCCCUCCCCACCUCCAUGGAGGGUCCCCUGUCCCCUACCCUCCCCACCUCCAUGGAGGGUCCCCUGUCCCCUGCCCUCCCCACCUCCAUGGAGGGUCCCCUGUCCCCUGCCCUCCCCACCUCCAUGGAGGGUCCCCUGUCCCCUGCCCUCCCCACCUCCAUGGAGGGUCCCCUGUCCCCUGCCCUCCCCACCUCCAUGGAGGGUCCCUAUCCCC